CGACAUACGGACUGGAAUGAACCGAAGGAGAUAAAGGAAACGCGAAGAGCCGAAAGGCGAAUCGAUGUUGACUUAUCAUACGAAGGGGAAGGAAGUCAGGCAAGUCGCUAUGAGCGGAAGCUAGAUUAACCAAAAGCAAUAAAGGCGAAAAAGCGUCUAGCUUAUUUCACAUAAAGCGAGUUAGUUAAGUGAAUAAGGGCGCACGGUGGAUGCCUUGGCACUAGGAGCCGAAGAA
rnacentral:rRNA from 1 species